rnacentral:rRNA from 1 species
CCUACGGGCGGCAGCAGUGAGGAAUAUUGGUCAAUGGGCUUACGCCUGAACCAGCCAAGUCGCGUGAGGGAAGACUGCCCUAUGGGUUGUAAACCUCUUUUGCCGGGGAGCAACGGGCGCCACGUGUGGCGCCACUGAGAGUACCCGGAGAAAAAGCAUCGGCUAACUCGGUGCCAGCAGCCGCGGUAAUACGGAGGAGGCGAGCGUUAUCCGGAUUUAUUGGGUGUAAAGGGUGCGUGGACGGAGCGUUAAGUCAGUGGUCAAAUUGAGGGGCUCACCCCCUUCCCGCCAUUGAAACUGGCGCUCUUGAGUGGAAGAGAAGUAUGCGGAAUGCGUGGUGUAGCGGUGAAAUGCAUAGAUAUCACGCAGAACCCCGAUUGCGAAGGCAGCAUGCCGGCUUCCUACUGACGCUGAAGCACGAAAGCGUGGGGAUCGAACAGGAUUAGAUACCCUGGUAGUC